AUGAACGCUAGCGGCAGGCCUAAUAACCAUGCAAGUCGAACGGUAAGUGGGGGGUAGCAAUAUCUCACCAAGAGUGACGUACGGGUGCGUAACACGUAUGCAACCUACCUGUAACAGGAGGAUAGCUCGGGGGAAACCCGAAUUAACCCUCCAAUAAUAUAAUUGAAUGGCACUCAUUUGAUUAUUAAAACUCCGGUGGUUACAGAUGGGCAUGCGUCCUGAUUAGUUAGUUGGCGGGCGGGUAAUGGCCCACCAAGACGAUGAUCUGUAUCCGGCCUGAGAGGGCGCACGGACACACUGGAACUGAACACGGUCCAGACUCCUACGGGAGGCAGGCAGUGGGGAAUUUUGCGCAAUGGGGGAAACCCUGACGCAGCAACGCCGCGUGGAGGAUGAAAUAUCCUUGGUAUGUAAACUCCUUUCGAUGGGGAAGAUUAUGACGGUACCCAUAGAAGAAGCCCCGGCUAACUUCGUUGCCAGCAGCCGCGGUAAUACGAGGGGGGCAAGCGUUGUUCGGAAUUACUUGGGCCGUAAAGGGUGCGUAGGCGGUUUGAUAAGUCUGGUGUGACAAUCUAUGGGCUCAACCCAUAGUCUGCACUAGAAACUGUCGGGCUUGAGUAUGGGAGAGGUGAGUGGAAUUUCCGGUGUAGCGGGUGAAAUGCGUAGAUAUCGGAAGGAACACCUGUGGCGAGAAAGCGGCUCACUGGACCAUUACUGACGCUGAUGCACGAAAGCUAGGGGAGCAGCAAACAGGAUUAGAUACCCUGGUAGUCCUAGCCCUAAACUAUGAUUGCUUGGUGUGGCAGGUACCCAAUCCUGCCGUGCCGAAGCUAACGCGAAUAAGCAAUCCGCCUGGGGGAGUCCUCCCGGUCGCAAGGCUGAAACUCAAAGGAAUUGACGGGGGCCCGCACAAGCGGUGGAGCAUGUGGUUUAAUUCGACGCAACGCGAAGAACCUUACCUGGGCUCGAAAUGUACCGGAAUCCGGCAGAAAAACGUCGGCGUCCAGCAAUGGACCGGUAUAUAGGUGCUGCAUGGCUGUCUGUCAGCUCGUGUCGUGAGAUGUGGGUUAAGUCCCGCAACGAGCGCACCCUAUCUUCAGUUGCUACCAUUUAGUUGAGCACUCUGACGGAAAAAGCGGCCUCGGAUAAACGGGGAGGAAGGUGGGGAUGACGUCAAGUCCUCAUGGCCUUUAUGGCCAGGGCUACACACGUGCUACAAUGGCCCCGGUACAAACCGCUGCAAAACCCGCGAGGGGGAGCUAAUCGGAAAAAGCCGCGCCUCAGUUCGGAUUGGAGUCUGCCACCUCGACUCCAUGAAGCUGGAAUCGCUAGUAAUCGCGAUCAGCAUGCUGCGGUGAAUACGUUCCCGGGCUUGUAACCCGCCCGCUCACAUCACGAAAGUGGGGUUGCACGAUGAAGUCGGUGCGCGUAACCGCAAGGGGAGGCAGCCCGCCCAAGGGUGAAUUCAUGAUUGGGGUG
rnacentral:rRNA from 1 species